CCUCGUGACCAAAAAAAAUUGAAUGCACAACUUUGUAGCCAUUUUAAUGAACAUGCCCGACUUUGAACAAGGGCUAGGAGGACAAUUGCACAGGGCCCACUUUUUAUGGGGCCCAAUUUUUUUAAUACUAUAUACAAGUUACCCAAUUAGAAACAGGAAGGCUCAAUAAUUGUCGUUCGUCAACCACGCACCACCAGAAGACAGAAGUGAAGUCGAUAUCCAAAAUCCCACAACCAGUCGACUACCUCUGUAAGUGAUUCAGCAGCUUGCAACACAACAACGCUUUUCAGGUAAAAGGUUUCUACUUUUCUUUUUAUUCCAAGCCUUGAAUCAGAAUUGCCAAAUCAUAUUAUCAGUCUAUAAGAUUAGGUUUAAUGUUUAUUAGAAAUCAGAUUAUUAGUCUAACAGAUUAUCCAUGGAUUGAUUGUUUGAAGCGUCGAAUAAUGGUAACAUGAAGCCAUGUGGAAGUGACAAAAUAGAAGAUCUUACCUCAUGUUCCAAAAUUACCCUUGAUACAGACUUGAUGCUAUCAAACUUUCAUAUGGAAAUGUUGAAGGUGAUAGUGAUAGACAUAUCUGCAAAAGUUACAUAUAAUCCAAAUAAAAAAAAAGAAUGAAGAAAAACAUAGGCAUCACAGUUUCUAACAAAAAGGGUAAUCCUUGUAAAUUUAACAUAAUCUAAAUUACUUGAACAUGAGAUACAUUUUGAUUUUGUUAUCCAUGGGAGAUAACUAUAAAGCUCCAUGUUUCACAAAGUGUGAGUUUGAUCAAGUUUUUUUUAUUGCUAGAACGGUGGUGGUGCCCAUUUUGUAGUUCUUUCUCAGGAAUGGCUAUAAUUGAGACAGAUAUUAUGGUAGAGUAAAAUUACCUCAAUGAUUCUUUAUUAACUAAUAUAAUCUAAAGAAAGGGAGCAAUCCUAAAUAAUUUUUUAUAAGCUAAAUAUUAUACUUGUCGAGGUAAAAAUAUUGCAAGUAGGGUUGCCAAGUCUUUAGGACCGGUAACAAUAAGCUUAUCACCUCUUUAUCUCUUCUCCAAAUUUGAUGCCCACGAAUGUAGAUCUAUUGUUAAGUGGAUAACUCUCCAACCAAUGUCGCGCGGAUUUAGCUUCCCAAUUUGUUCCUUGAUGGAGUUAAAAUUUUGAAUUUUCGAAUUAUACUUGUUUUAUGUAUAAAAUAAUAUGAUUUUUCUAUGUUUAUUAUUAUAAAGUUUAACAUCGUUUUAAAAAAACUUUAGUUUAUAUAAUUUAAUUCGUUACUUUAAGGACUAAGAUUUUUUUUUGAGUCGUCCUGGACACUUGAAUAGUCUAAAUCGACCCUGUUAAUGAAUAGCUCCUAGAUAAAUAAUAUUGUAGUCUUGUAAGUCUCAUAUUUUAAAAACAAAAUUAUCUUCUUUCAUGCAAUGCCAUAUAUAAUGUAGAAUAUUCCAUUUCCGAAUGGCAUAUUAUCACACAUGCUACUUAAACUUUUUAAUUUAAUAAUUUAUGUUCACUACACAAGCCAAGUUCCUAAGUCCCAACCAGUCAACCACCUUCCUCAAUCGUGAGCAUGGAGAAUCCCACGAUAUUAAGCAAACAACACGGGAUGAUUCAUAAUGAUGAUUGAGGUUCCGCAAUUUUGAUGGGGAAAAAUAAUCUCAAAUCAUCAAUGUGUGAAUGGUAGAGGUACGAAGAUGCAAGGAUAAUGAUCUAUGUCGAGAGAUUUAAGGAGUUUAAGGUCAUUAGUAUAAUAAAUAGUUGUAAGGCCUGUAAUAACUAGUUUAUGCUUAUGUUUAUGUAUCAUCUUUGACA